GAUGAACGCUGGCGGCGUGCUUAACACAUGCAAGUCGAACGAUGAAGCUGGAGCUUGCUCUGGUGGAUUAGUGGCGAACGGGUGAGUAACACGUGAGCAACCUGCCCCUUACUCUGGGAUAACAGCCGGAAACGGCUGCUAAUACCGGAUAUGCACCAUGAACGCAUGUUCUGUGGUGGGAAAGAUUUUUCGGUUGGGGAUGGGCUCGCGGCCUAUCAGCUUGUUGGUGAGGUAAUGGCUCACCAAGGCGUCGACGGGUAGCCGGCCUGAGAGGGUGACCGGCCACACUGGGACUGAGACACGGCCCAGACUCCUACGGGAGGCAGCAGUGGGGAAUAUUGCACAAUGGGCGAAAGCCUGAUGCAGCAACGCCGCGUGAGGGAUGACGGCCUUCGGGUUGUAAACCUCUUUUAGCAGGGAAGAAGCGAGAGUGACGGUACCUGCAGAAAAAGCGCCGGCUAACUACGUG
rnacentral:rRNA from 1 species